UUGAAAAAAUCCAAGAGUUACCAUAACAUCAAAUGGACAUAUUUGGUUUUCCUAUAUAUUAUUUUUAUUUAUGUGUUUUUAAUUGUAUAUGCAAUUUGAUAUUGUUAUACCAUAGUAUUAAAAAUGCUCAAACUAUCCACAAAAUCCUUGUGCUAUAGUAUUAUCUUCAAUUUGAUUUCUCGACCUAAAAACUGCUUAAUUUAGUCAUUUUUUUAACAUUGUGUGCAAUUGGAUCCUUAUGAGUAGCUCCAUCCAAAUUGGCCAUUAACUAUGCCGAUGUGCCAUUGCCAUGUCAAAGGAUGCUGAUGCAGCACUAAUAUGUCAAAUAGAAAAAAAUUUUGGAAAAAAAUUUUGUCAUGUCAGUUUUUCUAUAUAUUGUCAUGAGGAUCAAAUUACACAAAAUAGUAGCACCCGAGUAUUUAGUUCAUUGAUUGAUGCAGUAUCCCCUACCUAAAGAGUAGGGUUCGAAUCCCCCCUCCUCCAAUUAUAUUAAAAAAAAUUACACAAAAUAGUUGAGGACUUCUUAUGUACUUUUAUCAUUUUUUGUUUGACAUUAUAUAUGGGAAUGUUGGCCUUCACUAAAAGUUGAGAUGGUGUAUGAAUUGUAAGGAAAGAAGAAAACUGUCACAACUUAAACCUGAGGGUCCGUGACUAGUGCACUAGUCCAACAGGUUAAGCCUGCGAGAUGUUAAAAUGCUUGUGAUUGAGGUUGAUGAAAAAUAUGAAAUUUGCUUAAGGAAUCAUUAAUCAAGCUACUACCCAUAUAUGUGUAUCAUUAAGCAUAUUGAGUUUAAUUUGUUGUUAGGAAAGUUUGUCGUAGUGGCGUGUCGGACGAGGUAACGAGUGACCAGCAAGAAGAGUUAGCUAGAUACGCACUUGAAUCAAUAGCGACGUAGCGUCUCGCUAUUGUAAGAUAAGUAAUAAGCUCAAGUGCAUUGCUUAGCACCUCAAGAUUUGCUGCAACAUAGGUAAUGGUAUUUCAUAGCACUUUAUUCCGAGUUGCUCCACUGCUAGAGUUCAAGUCAUUCUUAGAUUGAUAUAUUUGUAAAUAGUGUCAAUGUAAAAGCACAAGACUCUAAUAUAUUCUCUCGAUUAUGGUGAAUAAUGGAUAAGAUGGCUUAUUAUGAUUUAAAUUCAAUUCUUAUUACAAAGAGGAAUAUGGUUCAAAGUAAUUUUACAGAUUGAUGGCAUAAUGACUACGUUUCAAUUAAGGCUUGUUCGGGACUUGGUGGGUUCUCCCGCGAGACUUGGAUGCAGGUAACGAUUGAGGAGAACGUCGUUACAAUAACCCUACUCAUAAGGUGAUUUCAGAAAUAGCCACCCAUAUAAAGUUAUUUGUUUUUACCCAAAAAUAAGCAUAAAUAGACCAAAAUGCCCUUAAAAGCAUCUUAGUAAAUUAAUCUCUUGAUAUCUCUCCCUUUCACCGUAAAGAAAAUAAAUUCUCAACUAUGUCAGCUCCUUCAACUCCCUUAGCUCUCUAAACUGUUUCAACUCUGUCAACUCUCUAUUGAGCACCAUCGUCAUCGAGCUAUGGUCUAUCUCUCGACAUUUGGCUAUAUUGUUGUCGAUAAAUAGACCGUAGAGUUGAGAUGACAUUAAGUGGCGUUCCAAUUUUACGACUUGUGUUAAGACACGGUGGUCAAUGGUGGAUGGUAUUUACAAGGGUGGUGAGUCACGAAUGCAGGGGGUUAUGACUGAUUUGUCAUUUACGGGCUUGAUAAAGCUGGUUGAAGAUGUUGUUAGGGUAAACUCAUAAAUUCAUGAGAUUGAGAUACAUGCAUUGAUCAAUACAUCCAGAGAGCUAUCACGCCUAAUUAUCAAGGACAAUGAGGAUGUUGCAUUAAUUCCACUAGAACAGAGCAAUGUUCCAGCAAUGUAUGUCACCAUUAAAGAAUGCCAUACAAUGUUAUGUCACAUGAAAAAGUUGUACAACAUGGU